rnacentral:rRNA from 1 species
GACGAACGCUGGCGGCGUGCUUAACACAUGCAAGUCGAACGGAAAGGCCCUGCUUUUGUGGGGUGCUCGAGUGGCGAACGGGUGAGUAACACGCGAGUAACCUGCCCUUGACUUUGUGAUAACUUCAGGAAACUGGGGCUAAUACCGGAUAGGAGCUCCUGCUGCAUGGUGGGGGUUGGAAAGUGUCGGCGGUUGGGGAUGGACUCGAGGGUUAUCAGCUUGUUGGUGUGGUAGUGGCUUACCAAGCCUAUGACGGGUAGCCGGCCUGAGAGGGUGAACGGCCACCAUGGGACUGCGAGACGGACCAGAAUCGAACGGGAGGCAGCAGGGGGGAGUAUUGCAGAACGGGCGGAAGUCUGAGGCAGAAACGUCGCGUGCGGGAAGCCGGCUUUCGGGUGGUAAACAGAUUUCGCAGGUGACGAAGAGUGAGUGACGGUAAUGGGUAAAGAAGCACCGGCUAACUACGUG